AGAGUUUGAUCCUGGCUCAGGACGAACGCUGGCGGCGUGCUAAUACAUGCAAGUCGAGCGAAUCUGAGGGAGCUUGCUCCCAAAGAUUAGCGGCGGACGGGUGAGUAACACGUGGGUAACCUGCCUGUAAGAUUGGGAUAACUCCGGGAAACCGGAGCUAAUACCGGAUAACAAUUUGAACCGCAUGGUUCAAAUUUGAAAGAUGGCUUCUUGCUAUCACUUACAGAUGGACCCGCGGCGCAUUAGCUAGUUGGUGAGGUAACGGCUCACCAAGGCGACGAUGCGUAGCCGACCUGAGAGGGUGAUCGGCCACACUGGGACUGAGACACGGCCCAGACUCCUACGGGAGGCAGCAGUAGGGAAUCUUCCGCAAUGGACGAAAGUCUGACGGAGCAACGCCGCGUGAACGAUGAAGGCCUUCGGGUCGUAAAGUUCUGUUGUUAGGGAAGAACAAGUACCAGAGUAACUGCUGGUACCUUGACGGUACCUAACCAGAAAGCCACGGCUAACUACGUGCCAGCAGCCGCGGUAAUACGUAGGUGGCAAGCGUUGUCCGGAAUUAUUGGGCGUAAAGCGCGCGCAGGCGGUUUCUUAAGUCUGAUGUGAAAGCCCACGGCUCAACCGUGGAGGGUCAUUGGAAACUGGGAAACUUGAGUGCAGAAGAGGAGAGUGGAAUUCCACGUGUAGCGGUGAAAUGCGUAGAGAUGUGGAGGAACACCAGUGGCGAAGGCGACUCUCUGGUCUGUAACUGACGCUGAGGCGCGAAAGCGUGGGGAGCGAACAGGAUUAGAUACCCUGGUAGUCCACGCCGUAAACGAUGAGUGCUAAGUGUUAGAGGGUUUCCGCCCUUUAGUGCUGCAGCAAACGCAUUAAGCACUCCGCCUGGGGAGUACGGUCGCAAGACUGAAACUCAAAGGAAUUGACGG
rnacentral:rRNA from 2 species